GUUCUUUGUCGGAUAGCUACCCCGACUAGGUCGUGGGAGGAAAGUCCGAACACCGCCAAUUUUUGGCAGAGGCAGUGGCUAACGGCCACGCUUUUCCCGAGAAAUCGGGAAGAGACGGACAGUGCAACAGAAAAUAUACAGCCCGCUUACCCCUAAAGGGAAAGCGAGUAAUGGUGAAAUCGUGCGUCCCGAUAAAUCGGGAUUAAAUCCCGAUUUAUCGGGAUGAAGUAAGAGCGCACGCGCCGACUUCGCGAGGAGUCGGAGUUGAAAACACCUGCCCGGUGCAAGUCGUUAACGACGCUCGAGGCCGGAGAGCAAUCCCGGUCCCAGACAGAUGGCUAUCCCCAGCUCCACUUUUUAAAAAGUGGAGCUGGGACAGAAUUCGGCUUAUAGACAAAGAAUAAAU
rnacentral:RNase_P_RNA from 1 species